rnacentral:rRNA from 1 species
CCUACGGGUGGCAGCAGUAGGGAAUAUUGCUCAAUGGUGGAAACCCUGAAGCAGCAACGCCGCGUGGAGGAUGAAGGUUUUCGGAUUGUAAACUCCUUUUGUUAGAGAAGAUAAUGACGGUAUCUAACGAAUAAGCACCGGCUAACUCCGUGCCAGCAGCCGCGGUAAUACGGCGGGUGCAAGCGUUACUCGGAAUCACUGGGCGUAAAGGGCGCGUAGGCGGGUUAGCAAGUCAGAUGUGAAAUCCUAUGGCUUAACCAUAGAACUGCAUUUGAAACUGUUAGUCUAGAGUAGGGGAGAGGUAGGUGGAAUGCUUGGUGUAGGGGUAAAAUCCGUAGAGAUCAAGAGGAAUACUCAUUGCGAAGGCGACCUGCUAGAACAUAACUGACGCUGAUGCGCGAAAGCGUGGGGAGCAAACAGGAUUAGAUACCCCAGUAGUC